UGUUAAGCUUUUCGCUCUCCGAAUACCACCUGCUCCAUUACCACACGCUGCUUUCUUUCUCUUCUUCUUCCUCAUCGCGUCACCUCCUCUAGUUCGCAACUCGCAUCUGCUUUCUUUUGAGUUGGUGUUCGUAGUAAGAGGAGGAAGCUGAAGAUGAGCGAUCCCAAGUACGCGUACCCUUACCCGGCGCAGGGCUACUACCAGGGCCCGUACCAGGGGCCUCCGGUGAUGGCGCCGCCGCAGUACGCCGCGCCGCCGCCCAGGCGGCAGCCUAGUUUCCUCGAAGGCUGUUUGGCUGCGCUUUGUUGCUGCUGCUUGAUCGACGAGUGCUGCUGCGACCCGUCGAUUAUAUUCGUCAGCUAAGGAUGCAUCCAUCGAUCGACCUGGCUUGGCCUCAGGUCGCAUCUAUUGUACAGACACGGCAGCACGGCUUGAUCCUCAAGUCCUCAUCAAGGAUGCAGUAUUAAUCUGCUUCUCGAAUUGUUUUAUGCCAGCUUAUUGCUUACAGCUGCUGCUGCUUCCUAUAUAUAUAUGUACUGUGUCCUAUCAGUGUGAUUAAUAAACGACUGUGUCCUCCUUUAAUUACU
rnacentral:sRNA from 1 species